AACGAACGCUGGCGGCAGGCCUAACACAUGCAAGUCGAGCGCCCUUUCGGGGGAGCGGCGGACGGGUGCGUAACGCGUGGGAAUAUGCCCUUCUCUACGGAAUAGCCUCGGGAAACUGAGAGUAAUACCGUAUACGCCCUGUGGGGGAAAGAUUUAUCGGGGAAGGAUUAGCCCGCGUUGGAUUAGGUAGUUGGUGGGGUAAUGGCCUACCAAGCCGACGAUCCAUAGCUGGUUUGAGAGGAUGAUCAGCCACACUGGGACUGAGACACGGCCCAGACUCCUACGGGAGGCAGCAGUGGGGAAUCUUAGACAAGGGGGGCAACCCUGAUCUAGCCAUGCCGCGUGAGUGAGGAAGGCCUUAGGGUUGUAAAGCUCUUUCAGCUGGGAAGAUAAUGACGGUACCAGCAGAAGAAGCCCCGGCUAACUCCGUG
rnacentral:rRNA from 1 species